UGCAAAAUUAUCAGCACUCAAUGUUUGAACUAAUUUCCCCUCAUCCCAGGAUCAUAAAAUAUAACAAAAAUAUGAGCACAAUUGCUCCGUAUUUCGAUAUAGCCUAAUCUAGAAACAGUUUAUCAGGUACUACUGGGCUUGACUCAUUUGUCGCAGAGGUAGCUUGUUUUAGAGCGGGAAAUAUAGAAAAGGGCGAUUGAGGAGCACUGGUGGGGGCAGUAACAGGUAUUUCAGGAAUACCCAAUGUUUUCUUUACACCAGGAACUUUAAGCGCUGCAAAAUUGGAAAUAAGAGCAAAUAGGGAUUAGGAAGAAGAAAAAAAGAAGAGUGUAUAACAAGGAUCGCUUGUGUUUGUAUAAUACAGUUCGGUGUGGAAAAACACCAUUUUGAUACAUAAGUAAUUAGAAACUUCAUUUAUACAUGAAACACAACCUCGAACUUGGGUGUUA